rnacentral:rRNA from 1 species
AGUGAACGCUGGCGGCGUGCCUAAUACAUGCAAGUCGAACGAUGAAGUCCUAGCUUGCUAGGCUGGAUUAGUGGCGCACGGGUGAGUAAUAUAUAGUUAAUCUGCCCUACACAGAGGAACAACAGUUGGAAACGACUGCUAAUACCUCAUACUCCUAUUUGACAUAAGUUAAAUAGGGAAAGUCUUUUCGGUGUAGGAUGAGACUAUAUCGUAUCAGCUAGUUGGUAAGGUAAUGGCUUACCAAGGCUAUGACGCGUAACUGGUCUGAGAGGAUGAUCAGUCACAUUGGAACUGAGACACGGUACAAACUCCUACGGGAGACAGCAGUAAGGAAUAUUGCGCAAUGGGGGAAACCCUGACGCAGCAACGCCGCGUGGAGGAUGACACUUUUCGGAGCGUAAACUCCUUUUAUCAGGAAAGAAUAAUGACGGUACCUGAUGAAUAAGCACCGGCUAACUCCGUG